UCACCAAUGGAUGGCAGGUUGAAAUCCCCCAUGACCAUAAGCCUGGGGGUAUCCACAAUAGACCUUGAAGUGGAGGAGAUUAUGCUGGCAGCAGGCAGCUACCCUCUUUGUGUGAAAGUAGCACCUCUAAAGACUUGUUCCUGCGGCCUAGUAAGUGGAACAAUGUGGAGGGAUUGCUUCUCCGAUUGACUGAUUUUCCUGCCAUCUCAAGGAUGAGAGAAAAGCAGAUUGACAGAAUGCGUAGAUGAGACCCAACAACCACUGCAAAUCAUUUGGGUUCUCAACCAACAACCUAACAUCCUCUGCAUACAAAAGUAUGUGACCAAUCAAAAACAAAAAGGAAGCCGAAUCACGUGCCGCUGGGUCAGCCCUGGCUCCUUUUAUAGCCUGAAUGUGCCAUGCAGUUAAUUCUAAAACUUGUAAUUGAGAAAUCGA